AGAGUUUGAUCAUGGCUCAGAUUGAACGCUGGCGGCAGGCCUAACACAUGCAAGUCGAGCGGUAGCACAGAGAGCUUGCUCUCGGGUGACGAGCGGCGGACGGGUGAGUAAUGUCUGGGAAACUGCCUGAUGGAGGGGGAUAACUACUGGAAACGGUAGCUAAUACCGCAUAACGUCGCAAGACCAAAGUGGGGGACCUUCGGGCCUCAUGCCAUCAGAUGUGCCCAGAUGGGAUUAGCUAGUAGGUGGGGUAAUGGCUCACCUAGGCGACGAUCCCUAGCUGGUCUGAGAGGAUGACCAGCCACACUGGAACUGAGACACGGUCCAGACUCCUACGGGAGGCAGCAGUGGGGAAUAUUGCACAAUGGGCGCAAGCCUGAUGCAGCCAUGCCGCGUGUGUGAAGAAGGCCUUCGGGUUGUAAAGCACUUUCAGCGGGGAGGAAGGCGAUAAGGUUAAUAACCUUGUCGAUUGACGUUACCCGCAGAAGAAGCACCGGCUAACUCCGUGCCAGCAGCCGCGGUAAUACGGAGGGUGCAAGCGUUAAUCGGAAUUACUGGGCGUAAAGCGCACGCAGGCGGUCUGUCAAGUCGGAUGUGAAAUCCCCGGGCUCAACCUGGGAACUGCAUUCGAAACUGGCAGGCUAGAGUCUUGUAGAGGGGGGUAGAAUUCCAGGUGUAGCGGUGAAAUGCGUAGAGAUCUGGAGGAAUACCGGUGGCGAAGGCGGCCCCCUGGACAAAGACUGACGCUCAGGUGCGAAAGCGUGGGGAGCAAACAGGAUUAGAUACCCUGGUAGUCCACGCCGUAAACGAUGUCGAUUUGGAGGUUGUGCCCUUGAGGCGUGGCUUCCGGAGCUAACGCGUUAAAUCGACCGCCUGGGGAGUACGGCCGCAAGGUUAAAACUCAAAUGAAUUGACGGGGGCCCGCACAAGCGGUGGAGCAUGUGGUUUAAUUCGAUGCAACGCGAAGAACCUUACCUGGUCUUGACAUCCACAGAACUUUCCAGAGAUGGAUUGGUGCCUUCGGGAAUUGUGAGACAGGUGCUGCAUGGCUGUCGUCAGCUCGUGUUGUGAAAUGUUGGGUUAAGUCCCGCAACGAGCGCAACCCUUAUCCUUUGUUGCCAGCGGUUAGGCCGGGAACUCAAAGGAGACUGCCAGUGAUAAACUGGAGGAAGGUGGGGAUGACGUCAAGUCAUCAUGGCCCUUACGACCAGGGCUACACACGUGCUACAAUGGCAUAUACAAAGAGAAGCGACCUCGCGAGAGCAAGCGGACCUCAUAAAGUAUGUCGUAGUCCGGAUUGGAGUCUGCAACUCGACUCCAUGAAGUCGGAAUCGCUAGUAAUCGUAGAUCAGAAUGCUACGGUGAAUACGUUCCCGGGCCUUGUACACACCGCCCGUCACACCAUGGGAGUGGGUUGCAAAAGAAGUAGGUAGCUUAACCUUCGGGAGGGCGCUUACCACUUUGUGAUUCAUGACUGGGGUGAAGUCGUAACAAGGUAACCGUAGGGGAACCUGCGGUUGGAUCACCU
rnacentral:rRNA from 1 species